GGAGCAUUGUAGCAAGCAUUUUUAUUUAAGAGAACAUGCAGACAUUUUUUAAUUAAAGCUGCACUUUAAUAUAAGUCUUAUAUUUGCAGUUUUGCAUCUGCAAGUACAGAUGACAGGAAUACAGAUACCAUCUGCAAGAGUGACAAGUCUCAAAGCCAUCAGAGAAGCCGGAGGGUGUUCUGUGCCGAGAUCUUUCAUGUUGAGGGUGUUUUCUGUGUGGAAAUGAGGCCACACGCAUAGUUUUUCUCUUGUCUACCACAUGACGAUUGAGGCUGUGAGGGGAAUAAUCGCAUAAAAAUAAAAGAUUUUACAUUGAAUUAACAUGUUCGCUGGAGAACAGCCAGACUCUCUCAGUAAGAUGAGGAAGUGUGUGGAGCGAGGCGGCGAGUCUCUCUCUGUCUCUCUCUCUCACCCUUACCUUUUACUUUCACUAAUAAGAGAUGGCCAAUUAAAGCCUUUUAGAGCCACAGCCUGAUCAAUACCCUCCAAGGAUCUUCCUAAAGAGAGUGAGCGAAAGAGAGGGUUAUAUUUAUGAUCCCAUUCCUUCUCAGUCCCCAGAGAGAGAGCAGCUAUUGAAAGAUUCGUAUUGACUUUCCAUGCAGGGCUUUCAUCUUGUUUUAUUGCGUUGUGGCACGGUGUAGUUUGGCUGUGGGUGAUGAGGGGGUGGAGGGGAAUGGAUAGGGUGUCGGGCUGAGAGAGAGGAGUCUGGGAUCUCUCGGGCUCCGCCGCUGCAGGGAGCUCCAUUACGGCGAGAAGGAGACGGCCUCAAGAGGGGAGCAAUUUGAAGAACGCCUCGUAACCUCCAAACACCCACUCCUGUGAUCCAAGGUGCUUGUUUGUGGUUGUGUAACAUAGCAGGAGUUGAAUGCAUACAAGAAUGGUGUACGUUUACAUCUAUCAGCAGGGGCUAUCUGGUCAAUAUUAACCAGCCAAACCCUGUGAGAUAUUUUAGCAGGCGGCACACAUUU